rnacentral:rRNA from 1 species
AUUAGGGAUCUUGCGCAAUGGGCGAAAGCCUGACGCAGCGACGCCGCGUGACCGAUGAAGUCCUUCGGGAUGUAAAGGUCUUUUGGCAGGGAAGAAGGAAGUGACGGUACCUGCAGAAUAAGCCCCGGCUAACUACGUGCCAGCAGCCGCGGUAAUACGUAGGGGGCGAGCGUUGUCCGAAGUUACUGGGCGUAAAGCGCGCGUAGGCGGUUGCUUAAGUUAGAUGUGAAAUCCCGCGGCCUAACUGCGGAACUGCAUCUGAAACUGGGCGACUUGAGGACGGAAGAGGGCAGUGGAAUUCCUGGUGUAGCGGUGAAAUGCGUAGAUAUCAGGAGGAACACCGGUGGCGAAGGCGGCUGCCUGGUCCGUAUCUGACGCUGAGGUGCGAAAGCUAGGGGAGCGAACG